AAUAUACUCCCUUCGUCCGAAAAUACUUGUCAUCAAAAUGGACAAAAAGGGAUGUAUCUAAAACUAAAAUACAUCUAGAUACAUCCCUUUUAUCCAUUUCGAUGACAAGUAUUUCCGGACUGAGGGAGUAUAUA
rnacentral:pre_miRNA from 1 species